CAGAGUAGGGACAGCGCGUCAAGUGCCGGCGGAUGGGAAGUUGCCGCCGGACGAAGGGGCCCACGGCCCCGCGUUGCUGCUCCCGCGUCCGCUGC
rnacentral:ncRNA from 1 species